rnacentral:rRNA from 1 species
UAAGGAAUAUUGGUCAAUGGGCGCAAGCCUGAACCAGCCAUGCCGCGUGCAGGAAGACGGCCCUAUGGGUUGUAAACUGCUUUUGUCAGGGAAUAAACCCCCGCUCGUGAGCGGGGCUGCAGGUACCUGAAGAAUAAGCAUCGGCUAACUCCGUGCCAGCAGCCGCGGUAAUACGGAGGAUGCAAGCGUUAUCCGGAUUCAUUGGGUGUAAAGGGUGCGCAGGCGGAUGGGUAAGUCAGGGGUGAAAUCCCACAGCGCAACUGUGGAAGUGCCUUUGAUACUGUCAGUCUAGAGUAUAGUUGAAGUGGGCGGAAUGUGUCAUGUAGCGGUGGAAUGCUUAGAUAUGACACAGAACACCGAUCGCGGAGGCAGCU